ensembl:lncRNA
AAAUGAUUGGAAUUUUAGUCGCUGUUGAAACACCACUAUCAGCUAGGCUCUGAAGAUUUUUUUUUAGGUGGGCAGGAAGAGAAACUGCAUAGAUGGCUUCAACUUCAAGUUCAGGAACUAAUCCUCACAGUGUGAAGUUGGAAUGAUUAUUUAGACAUUUUGGGAAAAAGCCAACUGCCUUGAUCUGGAGGACUCCUAAUGUCAUCUUUUUCUCCCCAUGGCACCCAGACUCUCCCCUCCCUCUUCUUGACAGCAACAACAGUCAAAGGCAAGCAUGCUUUUGACUUCAGAGAAGUCCUUGGAGGUGGUACAGUCAUUAAGAUGCAGAAGCUGUUACCCAAAAUCUGGGUUCACCUCUUGGUGGGUGAAGAGCCAGAAGACCCAACCAAGUCACGGAUCAGGGGACGGAAGGAUUUAUUAUUACUUGCAGCAAGUAAAGAGAACACUGGGGAUCUUUCUCAAAAUGGUAUCUCCCUGAGCAGCAAAAUUGGGGCAGUUUUAAGCUAAGGGUACAUGCAUAUUCAUGAAGGAGCAUGAGCGGUGGACAGAAUCCAAGCUUUAAUUGGUGGGAGUCGGGAGGGUCAGAGAAGGUCAACAUUCUCACCCUUAGGUUCCAGGUGAUCUGGGGGUUGAGCCUUCAGGCUAAUCUUUACCACUGAAACAGGACUGGAGUCUUUACAGCUGGGAGCCUCUGCUGUUGUUACUUCUCUUGCCUGACAAUAUCGUUUGUUCCUGCGUUCUAUUGUUCCCUUAAGAUCAUUGUUACUGAGAUCUGUUCAAGGAG